GCGAGAGUGGCGGAAUUGGUAGACGCGCCAGAUUUAGGAUCUGGUGGGCGCAAGCCCGUGGGGGUUCGAGUCCCCCCUUUCGCACCA
rnacentral:tRNA from 1 species